UAUCCAAUUAAACACAUAUGAAAUUUAAAAUUCUCAUUUAAUUUCAAUUAUUCCUUCAUUUCAAAAAACAUUUUUUUUUCUGUUUACUGCCCAUCGCUCUGCCGUUCUUCUCUACCGACAAAGCAUCUAAGGUGGCCGAUCUGGAUUUCAUAUCUUAUUUUCUGCAAAAGAAAAAAAAAACGAAAAAGGUAAAAGAAACGGAGACGGGGAGAGAAUCGGAGUUCGUUCGUCACUACGCAUGCAAAGCGAAAACGAAAGCGAAAAGGAGAAGACCUCUCACCUUCGAUUUCCUCUCCUUUUUAUUUCAUCUCUUUUUUUUUUCAAUCUUCACUACCCAGUCACUUCUUUUUUUCGUUUUUCAAAAGCAUACGGUCUUUUUCUUUUCCGGUUUUUUCGACUGACUUCCCCCUCAUUUGUUUUCAGGUCCCCUCUUUAUACAUUUUCAUCGCUGAUUAUUGCU